rnacentral:rRNA from 1 species
GAGGGGCAGCAUGGGUAGCAAUACCUGAUGGCGACCGGCAAACGGGUGCGGAACACGUACGCAACCUUCCCAAAACUGGGGAAUAGCCCUCCGAAAGGAGGAUUAAUACCCCGUACAAUAACGAAGAGGCAUCUCUUUGUUAUUAUAGCUCCGGCGGUUUUGGAUGGGCGUGCGGCUGAUUAGGUAGUUGGCGGGGUAACGGCCCACCAAGCCUACGAUCAGUAACUGGUGUGAGAGCACGACCAGUCACACGGGCACUGAGACACGGGCCCGACUCCUACGGGAGGCAGCAGUAAGGAAUAUUGGUCAAUGGACGCAAGUCUGAACCAGCCAUGCCGCGUGAAGGAUGAAGGCCCUCUGGGUUGUAAACUUCUUUUAUCUGGGACGAAAAAAGGGCAUUCUUGCUCACUUGACGGUACCAGAGGAAUAAGCACCGGCUAACUCCGUGCCAGCAGCCGCGGUAAUACGGAGGGUGCAAGCGUUAUCCGGAUUCACUGGGUUUAAAGGGUGCGUAGGUGGGCAGGUAAGUCAGUGGUGAAAUCUUCGAGCUUAACUCGGAAACUGCCAUUGAUACUAUCUGUCUUGAAUAUCCUGGAGGUGAGCGGAAUAUGUCAUGUAGCGGUGAAAUGCU